UAGAAUUCCACAUGUAGCAGUGAAAUGCGUAGAUAUGUGGAGGAAUACCAAUGGCGAAGGCAGCCCCCUGGGAUAACACUGACGCUCAUGCACGAAAGCGUGGGGAGCAAACAGGAUUAGAUACCGUGGUAGUCCACGCCCUAAACGAUGCUGACUAGUUGUUCGGGAUUUACAUCCUGAGUAACGUAGCUAACGCGUGAAGUCAGCCGCCUGGGGAGUACGGUCGCAAGAUUAAAACUCAAAGGAAUUGACGGGGACCCGCACAAGCGGUGGAUGAUGUGGAUUAAUUCGAUGCAACGCGAAAAACCUUACCUACCCUUGACAUGUCACUAACGAAGUAGAGAUACAUUAGGUGCUCGUAAGAGAAAGUGAACACAGGUGCUGCAUGGCUGUCGUCAGCUCGUGUCGUGAGAUGUUGGGUUAAGUCCCGCAACGAGCGCAACCCUUGUCUUUAGUUGCUACGCAAGAGCACUCUAAAGAGACUGCCGGUGACAAACCGGAGGAAGGUGGGGAUGACGUCAAGUCCUCAUGGCCCUUAUGGGUAGGGCUUCACACGUCAUACAAUGGUGCAUACAGAGGGUUGCCAACCCGCGAGGGGGAGCUAAUCUCAGAAAAUGCAUCGUAGUCCGGAUCGUAGUCUGCAACUCGACUACGUGAAGCUGGAAUCGCUAGUAAUCGCGGAUCAGAAUGUCGCGGUGAAUACGUUCCCGGGUCUUGUACACACCGCCCGUCAUACCAUGGGAGUGGGUUUUGCCAGAAGCCGUUAGCCUAACCGCAAGGAGGGCGACUGCCACGGCAGGGUUCAUGACUGGGGUAAAGUCGUAACAAGGUAACC
rnacentral:rRNA from 1 species